GAUGAACGCUGGCGGCGUGCCUAAUACAUGCAAGUCGAGCGAACAGACGAGGAGCUUGCUCCUCUGACGUUAGCGGCGGACGGGUGAGUAACACGUGGAUAACCUACCUAUAAGACUGGGAUAACUUCGGGAAACCGGAGCUAAUACCGGAUAAUAUAUUGAACCGCAUGGUUCAAUAGUGAAAGACGGUUUUGCUGUCACUUAUAGAUGGAUCCGCGCCGCAUUAGCUAGUUGGUAAGGUAACGGCUUACCAAGGCAACGAUGCGUAGCCGACCUGAGAGGGUGAUCGGCCACACUGGAACUGAGACACGGUCCAGACUCCUACGGGAGGCAGCAGUAGGGAAUCUUCCGCAAUGGGCGAAAGCCUGACGGAGCAAUGCCGCGUGAGUGAUGAAGGUCUUCGGAUCGUAAAACUCUGUUAUUAGGGAAGAACAAAUGUGUAAGUAACUAUGCACGUCUUGAUGGUACCUAAUCAGAAAGCCACGGCUAACUACGUG
rnacentral:rRNA from 1 species